GAUAAACGCUGGCGGCGUGCCUAACACAUGCAAGUCGAACGAUCCCGCAAGGGAGAGUGGCGGAAGGGUGAGUAACACGUGGGAAUCUACCUCCUCGCAGGGAACAACCUCUCGAAAGAGAGGCUAAUACCCAAAAGGGUCAGAAAUGAUCAGAGUCGAAAGGCGUGAGGAGAGGAGCCCGCGGCCCAUCAGCUAGUUGGUGAGGUAAUGGCUUACCAAGGCUACGACGGGUAGGGGAUCUGAGAGGAUGUCCCCCACACUGGAACUGAAACACGGUCCAGACGCCUACGGGUGGCAGCAGUGAGGAAUAUUGGACAAUGGGCGAAAGCCCGAUCCAGCAACGCCGCGUGGAGGAUGAAGGCCUUCGGGUCGUAAACUUCUUUAGAGGGGAGACGAGAAAGGACGGUAUCCCUAGAAUAAGCGACGGCAAACUACGUGCCAGCAGCCGCGGUAAU
rnacentral:rRNA from 1 species